rnacentral:snRNA from 1 species
AUUGCUUCUCGGCCUUUUGGCUAAGAUCAAGUGUAAAAGAAAUGUAGGGACAUAUCAUGAAUAAAUAAAUGUGAAAAAAGUUACUGUUUGCAGAGAGUGGAGAUAGUAACUGUAGGCAUGACUCCAUUGACAGAGUGAUUGCCUAACAUGUA